GUCAACGUGCCAGAGUGGUUAAUGGGAUAGACUCGAAUUAUAAUUUGGUUAUCUAUUGGCUUCGGCCGCACAGGUUCAAAUCCUGUCGUUGACG